rnacentral:rRNA from 1 species
UUCCGGUUGAUCCUGCCGGAGGCUACCGCUAUUGGAGUUCGAUUAAGCCAUGCGAGUCGAGAGUCUUAGGGACUCGGCGCACCGCUCAGUAACACGUGGGUAACCUGCCCUAUGCUGGGGGAUAACCUCGGGAAACUGAGAAUAAUACCCCAUAGUUCACCACGCCUGGAACGGUGGGUGGACCAAAGCUCCGGCGGCAUAGGAUGGGCCUGCGACGUAUCAGGUUGUAGGGGGUGUAACGUACCCUCUAGCCAUCAACGCGUACGGGUGUUGGGAGACAUAGCCCGGAGAUGGAUUCUGAGACACGAAUCCAGACCCUACGGGGUGCAGCAGGCGCGAAAACUUGGCAAUGCGAGCAAUCGUGACCAGGGAACUCCAAGUGGCUGGGGUAAUACCCAGUUUUUUCUUGACUCUUCAAAGGUCUUGGAAUAAGGGGUGGGUAAGGACGGUGCCAGCCGCCGCGGUAAUACCGGCGCCUCAAGUGGUAGUCGCUUUUAUUGGGCCUAAAACGUCCGUAGCCGGUCUGGUACAUUCGUGGGUAAAUCAACCCGCUCAACGGGUUGAAUUCUGCGAGCACGGCCAGACUUGGGACCGGGAGAGGUGUGGGGUACUCUCAGGGUAGGGGUAAAAUCCUGUCAUCCUGAGAGGACCACCUGUUGCGAAGGCGCCACACUAGAACGGAUUCGACGGUCAGGGACGAAACCUAGGGGCACGAACCGGAUUAGAUACCCGGGUAGUCCUAGGUGUAAACGCUGUGGACUUGAUGUUGGGGGCGCUCCGAGCGCUUUCAGUGUCGAAGCGAAGGUGAUAAGUCCACUGCCUGGGGAGUACGGUCGCAAGGCUGAAACUUAAAGGAAUUGGCGGGGGAGCACUGCAACCUGAGGAUUGUGCGGUUUAAUUGGAUUCAACGCCGGA